AACACUACUCCCUAUUUUGGUGACUCGGCCGCUGCUCUACUCUGUUCGACCGGUCUCAAAAAAAACUUUAAACUUUUAAUGACAUUUCUCACGAUGAUCGGGGUGAGGAAGUGUGUCCCUAAGGAGGAAGACCUCAGCUUUUCCCUGCGGCUGGCUAGUCAGGCCACGCGCGACUGUGAAUCAGCUGGUUACCACACGCGUGGCCCCACGUCCGGCACAGCCCAGGCCGCCUCUUGCUCCGCUGACGGGUGCGAGGCGCUGCCGGCCUUGCGGGGGCAGUCAGCGCCAUCUGUCGGAAAUGGAUGUGAGGAAAAUGGUGUCUGUGUCCCGACCUACUAGCAAGAAAGGAUGGGUGAACACCAUGCAAGCUUCAAAGCAGGAAAAUAUAAACAUGGAAGAUACUUAAGGAGCAACACUGUCUCUCACAAAGUAGAACUAAUUUGCUAACAAAUAACAAAUAUAAAUAGUGCAGUGGGUGUGUUUUGCUUUCUAGAGUCAUACCUAUCACUUCUUGUGUCCUUACUACUUCUAUGGCACCAGACUUCAAAAAAAUAUUAGUUCAUUGUGCUUUGGUUUCAUUGCUUGCAUUGCAUGAAAUUGCUACAUGAUUGAAAUAUUAUAUUAACAAAUUUAUAUUCACUAAAGCACUAUUAAGAGAAAUCUUCCUGUAGAGUGAAUAUUAUAUUUGCCUCCACCUGGCUUGCUCGUCUUCUGAGAUAGCUAGAUGAUAAGACGGGCAUUUCAGGUUUGUAGGACAUUUAUUCUAACUUCAGUGGCAUUGCUUCAUUUUGGUAGUAUUCAAUAUUUAAUUAGUUGUGGGAAAAAGUUCUGUAUCAGGAUAGCUUUCUGAAUUAAUUAAAUGCCUCAUACUGUAUGUACUCUAUAUUUGAGUCAUAUUGUUUGUUUUUACAUAUACAUUAUUCAGAGUACUUUUAUACAGAACAUUUCAGAAAUGUUCUUUGCAGUCUCAUCUAUAAGAAGAAAUUAUGGAAUAUCAUUGUGGUUGUCAGAAUGGAAGACUUAACUUUUCAGUUUGGAAAGGAAAGUUUAGCUGUA
rnacentral:lncRNA from 1 species